GCCUCACUGGUGUAGUGGUAGAGCACGCCUUACGUCCCCGGAUAGGAUGAAACGUGGGUUCGAUUCCCGCCUGAGGCC